GAAUAACACGAGGAAACUUGUGCUAAUACCGGAUAAGUCUUUACGGAGAAAGCUUUAUGCACCAUUGGAUGAGCCUGCACUUGAUUAGUUUGUUGGUGGGGUAAUGGCCUACCAAGACUGUGAUCAAUAGCUGAUUUGAGAGGAUGAUCAGCCACAUUGGGACUGAGACACGGCCCAAACUCCUACGGGAGGCAGCAGUGGGGAAUCUUGCACAAUGGAGGAAACUCUGAUGCAGCGAUGCCGCGUGAGUGAAGAAGGCCUUUGGGUUGUAAAGCUCUUUCGUCGGGGAAGAAAAUGACUGUACCCGAAUAAGAAGGUCCGGCUAACUUCGUGCCAGCAGCCGCGGUAAUACGAAGGGACCUAGCGUAGUUCGGAAUUACUGGGCUUAAAGAGUUCGUAGGUGGUUGAAAAAGUUGGUGGUGAAAUCCCAGAGCUUAACUCUGGAACUGCCAUCAAAACUUUUCAGCUAGAGUAUGAUAGAGGAAAGCAGAAUUUCUAGUGUAGAGGUGAAAUUCGUAGAUAUUAGAAAGAAUACCAAUUGCGAAGGCAGCUUUCUGGAUCAUUACUGACACUGAGGAACGAAAGCAUGGGUAGCGAAGAGGAUUAGAUACCCUCGUAGUCCAUGCCGUAAACGAUGUGUGUUAGACGUUGGAAAUUUAUUUUCAGUGUCGCAGCGAAAGCGAUAAACACACCGCCUGGGGAGUACGACCGCAAGGUUAAAACUCAAAUGAAUUGACGGGGACCCGCACAAGUAGUGGAGCAUGUGGUUUAAUUCGAAGAUACGCGCAGAACCUUACCAACACUUGACAUGUUCGUCGCGACUCUAAGAGAUUAGAGUUUCG
rnacentral:rRNA from 1 species